rnacentral:rRNA from 1 species
GAUGAACGCUGGCGGCGUGCCUAAUACAUGCAAGUCGAGCGAACAGAUGAGGAGCUUGCUCCUCUGACGUUAGCGGCGGACGGGUGAGUAACACGUGGAUAACCUACCUAUAAGACUGGGAUAACUUCGGGAAACCGGAGCUAAUACCGGAUAAUAUAUUGAACCGCAUGGUUCAAUAGUGAAAGACGGUUUUGCUGUCACUUAUAGAUGGAUCCGCGCCGCAUUAGCUAGUUGGUAAGGUAACGGCUUACCAAGGCAACGAUGCGUAGCCGACCUGAGAGGGUGAUCGGCCACACUGGAACUGAGACACGGUCCAGACUCCUACGGGAGGCAGCAGUAGGAAAUCUUCCGCAAUGGGCGAAAGCCUGACGGAGCAACGCCGCGUGAGUGAUGAAGGUCUUCGGAUCGUAAAACUCUGUUAUUAGGGAAGAGCAAAUGUGUAAGUAACUAUGCACGUCUUGACGGUACCUAAUCAGAAAGCCACGGCUAACUACGUG